rnacentral:rRNA from 1 species
GAUGAACGCUGGCGGCGUGCUUAACACAUGCAAGUCGAACGAUGAAGCCCAGCUUGCUGGGUGGAUUAGUGGCGAACGGGUGAGUAACACGUGAGUAACCUGCCCUUAACUCUGGGAUAAGCCUGGGAAACUGGGUCUAAUACCGGAUAGGAGCGUCCACCGCAUGGUGGGUGUUGGAAAGAUUUAUCGGUUUUGGAUGGACUCGCGGCCUAUCAGCUUGUUGGUGAGGUAAUGGCUCACCAAGGCGACGACGGGUAGCCGGCCUGAGAGGGUGACCGGCCACACUGGGACUGAGACACGGCCCAGACUCCUACGGGAGGCAGCAGUGGGGAAUAUUGCACAAUGGGCGCAAGCCUGAUGCAGCGACGCCGCGUGAGGGAUGACGGCCUUCGGGUUGUAAACCUCUUUCAGUAGGGAAGAAGCGAAAGUGACGGUACCUGCAGAAGAAGCACCGGCUAACUAUGUG